UGGGAACAACCUUGAGGAGAUUGCUUGAGAUGUCUCUUUAGCAGCUCUAAAACAUAUUUGCUAUGAAUAGCCACCAACAGGAUUAUUAUGGGUUGCAAAUGGAAGAAAGAGAAAGGGAAGAGUAAAAGAGAAAGGGAAGAGUAAAAGAGAAAGGUUCAUAAAGGUUAGUGAGAAUCUGUAUACACUGCAGAAACAGUUUCCUCUGGAGAUGACAUUGACUGAGUCUGUAGUGGAAGUCAGGAGCAGAGGAAGCGUGGAGUGCGCACUAGCUCUCUAUGGAAGACGGGAGCAGGGGACGCGUGGAGCGUGCACUAGUCCUCCAUGGAAGUCAGGAGCAGAGAAUGCCUGGAAUGCGCACUAUCCUUCCAUAGAAGACAGGAGCAGAGGACGCCGGAGUGCGCACUAGCCCUCCGUGGAAGACGGGAGCAGAGGACAUCGGAGUGCGCACUAGCAGUCCAUGGAAGUCAGGAGCAGAGAAUGCCUGGAGGGCGCACUAGCCCUCCAUAGAAGACAGGAGCAGAGGACGUCGAAGUGCGCACUAGCCCUCCAUGGAAGACGGGAGCAGAGGACGGUGGAGUGCGCACCAGUCCUCCGUGGUAGACAGGAGCAGAGAAUGCCUGGAGUGUGUACUAGCCCUCCAUGGUAGAUGGGAGGAGAGAAUGCCAGGAGUGUGCACUAGCCCUCCAUAGAAGAUGGGAGCAGAGGACGCGUGGAGUGCGCACUAGCCCUCCUUGGAAGUCGGGAGCAGAGGACGCCGCAGUGCGCACUAGCCCUCCAUGGAAGACAGGCGCAGAGGACGCCGGAGUGCGCACUAGCCCUUCAUGGAAGACGGGAGCAGAGGAUGCGUGGAGUGCGCACCAGCCCUCCAUGGAAGUCAGGAGCAAAGGAUGUGUGGAGUGCGUACUAGCCCUCCAUGGCAGCAUUUCCCAAAUGGUGGCCCCUGAAUCUUUGUUCCUCCAGAUGUGCUAAAAGAAAAAGAGGCUUGUGGUUAAAUAAAUUUGGGAAAAUUUUAAG
rnacentral:lncRNA from 10 species